GGAUUAGAAACCCUGGUAGUCCAUGCCGUAAACGUUGGGCACUAGAUGUGGGGGACAUUCCACGUUUUCCGCGUCGUAGCUAACGCAUUAAGUGCCCCUCCUGGGGAGUACGGCCGCAAGGCUAAAACUCAAAGGAAUUGACGGGGGCCCGCACAAGCGGCGGAGCAUGCUGAUUAAUUCGAUGCAACGCGAAGAACCUUACCAAGGCUUGACAUGCACCGGGCGACUGCAGAGAUGUGGUUUUCUUCGGACUGGUGCACAGGUGGUGCAUGGUUGUCGUCAGCUCGUGUCGUGAGAUGUUGGGUUAAGUCCCGCAACGAGCGCAACCCUCGUUCUAUGUUGCCAGCACGUCAUGGUGGGGACUCAUAGGAGACUGCCGGGGUCAACUCGG
rnacentral:rRNA from 1 species